rnacentral:rRNA from 1 species
AUGCGCGCACCUUCCUUCCAGAUCCCCCACCACAUUCCUAUCCUCCUCCUCUCCAACCAGACUUUCUCCGAGCGCUACCAGCUUCCUUCCAUCCUCCUUCCUUCGCCGCCGAGGUUUCCUUCGAUCGGGAGCGGUGGCGUGUUCCCUGGUUAUCCGUGCGUUUCCGUUUGCAUGGGGCUGGACGUCGGCGAGAUCGGGAUGCCCCUCGACCUGGGCCUCGACCUCAAGCUCUUCGUCGCCAAGACCGCCGGCCGGCUGGCCGCCGCGGCCAAGGAGGCGCCCGCCGUCGACGCCUGCAUCCGCGGCCUCGAGGAGGAGCGCCGCAAGAUCGAGGUCUUCCGCCGCGAGCUGCCGCUCUGCGCCCGCCUGCUCGCCGAUGUCAUCGAGUUCAUGAAGGAGGAGGCGGCCAAGAGGAGCGAGCGCCGCGACGCCGACGACAACGACAAGCGGAAAUGGAUGAGCACGGCGCAGCUCUGGGUCGACAGCCGCGCCACCGACGCCGCCGAUCCCGUGAAGGAGCAGAGGAAGGAGAGCGCCCUGUCCAAGCCGAUGCUGCUCGGCGGUGCCAUCGGUGCGCCCAUGGCAGCCAGCUGCCGUGCAAUGCCGCCGCCGGCGGCUCCGCAGUACUUCGGCAGGGACGACAAGAUUGUUGGCACACAAGGCCUGCCUGCUCUGCCCAUGAUUUCUCCGGCUGCGAACAGGCAGUUUUCUCCCCCUGUCGACGACCGCCAUCAGGCUUUCGCCGCAAAAUUUGCUGCCCCCAUGCCACCUCCGGGGCCUGGCUUGCAGACUCAUGACCAGCAGUCGAGGAAGACAAGGCGGUGCUGGUCGCCGGAGCUUCACCGGCACUUUGUUGCCGCCUUGCACCAACUCGGUGGCCCUCAAGUUGCCACUCCAAAGCAAAUCAGGGAGAUGAUGAAAGUUGAUGGCCUCACCAACGAUGAAGUGAAAAGCCACCUCCAGAAAUACCGUCUGCACAACCAGAGGUGCCCUAGCUCUUCUUCAGCCAGCCAUCCGGUUAUGCUGGUGGGCGAUCUCUGGGCUCAUCAGGAGCAAAGCAGCUCGCAGUCCCGGUCCCCUGAAGGCCCCCUUCAGCUCUCUGUUUCAGGGGUGGCCGUCUCGGCACUCACCGGCAGCGACAGUUCCGAGGAAGACGGCAGGUCGGUAGGCUAUAGCCGGAGGUGA